rnacentral:rRNA from 1 species
AGGCAGCAGUGGGGAAUAUUGGGCAAUGGGCGAAAGCCUGACCCAGCAACGCCGCGUGAAGGAAGAAGGCCUUCGGGUUGUAAACUUCUUUUGUCAGGGACGAAGGACGUGACGGUACCUGACGAAUAAGCAACGGCUAACUACGUGCCAGCAGCCGCGGUAAUACGUAGGUUGCAAGCGUUGUCCGGAUUUACUGGGUGUAAAGGGCGUGUAGGCGGAGCUGCAAGUCAGAUGUGAAAUCCCGGGGCUCAACCCCGGAACUGCAUUUGAAACUGUAGCCCUUGAGUAUCGGAGAGGCAAGCGGAAUUCCUAGUGUAGCGGUGAAAUGCGUAGAUAUUAGGAGGAACACCAGUGGCGAAGGCGGCUUGCUGGACGACAACUGACGCUGAGGCGCGAAAGCGUGGGGAGCAAACAGGAUUAGAUACCCUGGUA